UUCAAAGCAACAAGGAACAAUUUGCCUGUGGAUGGAAAUGAAUUGUUUUGAAGAGUUGAUAAUAUGGAAAGGAAGAUGGACAGCUUUUUGAAAGAAAAUCGAAGAAAUGGCCCAACAAAAAACCGUCCGCGAAUGUAAGAUGCUAAUUCGCAAAGUUCACCAAUCAGUAUGCCGACUGACUGGCGAAGAAAUCGAAAAUCAAUCAGAAAGUUGAUUCGAAGCGAAUAAAUUAAAUAAAAAAAGUGUAAGUGGUAAUUUAAAAACUUUGUCAAA